CGCGUAGGCAGGAUGGCAAGUCGGUCGUGAAAUCCUUCGGCUCAACCGAAGAACGUCGAUCGAUACUGCUGUUCUUGAGGGUUGCAGAGGAGACUGGAAUUCCCGGUGUAGCGGUGAAAUGUGUAGAGAUCGGGAGGAACACCGGUGGCGAAGGCGGGUCUCUGGGCAAUUCCUGACGCUGAGGCGCGAAAGCGUGGGGAGCAAACGGGAUUAGAUACCCCGGUAGUCCACGCUGUAAACGAUGACGACUAGGUGUGGGGGGGUUCAGUCCCCUCCGUGCCGCAGCUAACGCAUUAAGUCGUCCGCCUGGGGAGUACGGCCGCAAGGUUGAA
rnacentral:rRNA from 1 species